AACACAAUUGCUGGAUCAUAUGUUGAGUAUGUUUAAUUUUGUAAGAAACUGGCAAACUGUUUUUCAAAGUAGCUGUAUCAUUUUGUAUUCCCACCAGCAGU
rnacentral:pre_miRNA from 1 species